rnacentral:misc_RNA from 1 species
UCCGGUUUGACACCGGCAGUCUCCCUAGAGUCCCCGGCGCCCGUAGGCCCGCUGGCAACUAGGGACAAGGGUUGCGCUCGUUCAGCGACUUAACGCGACGUCUCACGACACGAGCUGACGACAGCCAUGCAGCACCUGCGCACGUUUCACCCGAAGGCAGCCGACACCCCUUUCGGGGGCGACAUCCGUGCAUGUCAAACCCAGGAUAAGGUUCUUCGCGUUGCCUCGAAUUAAGCCACAUGCUCCACCGCUUGUGUGAGCCCCCGUCAAUUCCUUUGAGUUUCAGCCUUGCGACCAUACUCCCCAGGCGGGGCACUUAGUGCUUUCGCUGCGACCGGAAAAGCCGAAGCUCCUCCCGUCUAGUGCCCAACGUUUACAGCCAGGACUAC